GACGAACGCUGGCGGCGUGCUUAACACAUGCAAGUCGAACGGAAAGGCCCUGCUUUUGUGGGGUGCUCGAGUGGCGAACGGGUGAGUAACACGUGAGUAACCUGCCCUUGACUUUGGGAUAACUUCAGGAAGCUGGGGCUAAUACCGGAUAGGAGCUCCUGCUGCAUGGUGGGGGUUGGAAAGUUUCGGCGGUUGGGGAUGGACUCGCGGCUUAGCAGCUUGUUGGUGGGGUAGUGGCUUACCAAGGCUUUGACGGGUAGCCGGCCUGAGAGGGUGACCGGCCACAUUGGGACUGAGAUACGGCCCAGACUCCUACGGGAGGCAGCAGUGGGGAAUAUUGCACAAUGGGCGGAAGCCUGAUGCAGCAACGCCGCGUGCGGGAUGACGGCCUUCGGGUUGUAAACCGCUUUCGCCUGUGACGAAGCGUGAGUGACGGUAAUGGGUAAAGAAGCACCGGCUAACUACGUG
rnacentral:rRNA from 1 species